UACAGAGGGGGCAAGCGUUGUUCGGAAUUACUGGGCGUAAAGGGCGCGUAGGCGGCCUGCUAAGUCGAACGUGAAAUCCCUGGGCUCAACCCAGGAACUGCGUCCGAUACUGGUUGGCUUGAAUCCGGGAGAGGGAUGUGGAAUUCCAGGUGUAGCGGUGAAAUGCGUAGAUAUCUGGAGGAACACCGGUGGCGAAGGCGGCAUCCUGGACCGGCAUUGAUGCUGAGGCGCGAAAGCCAGGGGAGCAAACGGG
rnacentral:rRNA from 1 species